CAAGCCGUGGAAAGCAAGAAAGCAUAGAACAGAACAGCUAUUCUAGAGAAUAAGUAAUAACUAUACGAAACUGGAAUUUUAAAUUGUUCUUAUAUAACUGAUAAAUGUUUCUACUCUAGUUUUCUGUCACAUUGGAACUUCUGUUUCAAACAAGUAUUUACCACCUUCUUUGUUUUUCUUCUAGCAGCAAAGUAAAUGAUUCUAAUUCACUAUUCACAAUUCAGACACGCUUUCAGAAACUCCCCACCCUCCAUCGCUGCCUGACAGGAGGCCGCACCCAGCAGCAGCGUGUCGCUCUCCUUGCUCAGGUGACAAGCGACAGGACGCGAGGUGACAGCCCCGGGCUGCACCAGGGGGGUUUGGGUUGGGUGUCAGGAAGGAUUUCCUCACAGUGUGCGGCCAGGCCUUGGAAUGGGCUGCAGAAGGGGGGGAGGCUGGGCCCCGCUCGGCCAGCACCG